GUUUAAUAAUUGUGCUAAAGGAAAAACACAACAAUUUGAUGUACUUAAUAGACAUUUUCUUAUAACUCCAUAAACAUUAAAAUUUAUUUAAUGCAGAAGAUAAGCUUCCUAAACUAUAAAGUGAUAAAAUCAUAUUCUAUUUCUUACAUGCACUUUGGAGAAAAUAUGGCUAAAAUUGUCAAGUUUUUUUUUUCCUGAUUAUCUUUAUUUCUGUAUUUCUUGUUGCAAUGAAUCGCCGAGAGACCAUGAAUGUGAACAAGAUUUUGAUUGUCCGAAAUCUACAUGUCUGUUUUAUUGGAAACCGACAUGUGUAAAGCCAUAUUUUCUUAUGAUCAAUCAACAUAGACAUAACUAUUGUGCAUGUACGUGAGCGAUGUGCCCCCUAAGAUUCUGCUACAAAAUUCAAUGAGUUUUCAUUUAGUUAUUGUGUUGGCAUGCAAUAACAAUAAUAUGAAUUUUGUAUUUUUAUAUUUUCACAGACCAUGUAAUUAUGGAUUUGUACUCUGAGAUAAGAGUAAUGAAACGAAAUAACGAAUAAAAUAAUAUUAAUUAGAUUUUCUUUUUCG